UACGUAGGGUGCAAGCGUUAUCCGGAAUUAUUGGGCGUAAAGAGCUCGUAGGCGGUUUGUCGCGUCUGCUGUGAAAGACCGGGGCUCAACUCCGGUUCUGCAGUGGGUACGGGCAGACUAGAGUGCAGUAGGGGAGACUGGAAUUCCUGGUGUAGCGGUGAAAAUGCGCAGAUAUCAGGAGGAACACCGAUGGCGAAGGCAGGUCUCUGGGCUGUAACUGACGCUGAGGAGCGAAAGCAUGGGGAGCGAACAGG
rnacentral:rRNA from 1 species